UGGGGAAUAUUGCACAAUGGACGGAAGUCUGAUGCAGCAACGCCGCGUGCGGGAUGACGGCCUUCGGGUUGUAAACCGCUUUUUCUCAUGACGAAGUUUUUUGACGGUAGUGGGGGAAGAAGCACCGGCUAACUACGUGCCAGCAGCCGCGGUGAUACGUAGGGUGCGAGCGUUGUCCGGAAUUAUUGGGCGUAAAGAGCUUGUAGGCGGUUUGUCGCGUCGAUAGUGCAAACUCAGUGCUUAACGCUGAGCCUGCUGUUGAUACGGGCAGACUAGAGGAAGGUAGGGGAGAAUGGAAUUCCCGGUGGAGCGGUGGAAUGCGCAGAUAUCGGGAGGAACACCGGUGGCGAAAGCGGUUCUCUGGGCCUUUCCUGACGCUGAGAAGCGAAAGCGUGGGGAGCGAACAGG
rnacentral:rRNA from 1 species